AAUAACGUCCUUCCAUUCUUGGAAGGGUACCGCAAGGUUUGGAAUGGUUCUAGUUCAAAUUUCUAUUAGAGUAACAAUUGGAGGACAAGUCUGGUGCCAGCACCCGCGGUAAUUCCAGCUCCAAAAGCAUAUACUAAAAUUGCUGUAGUUAAAACGCUCGUAGUUUAUACAAGGGAUGCUCUGAUUCGAACCGUGAACAAAUUAAAGUGUUUAAAGCGGGCAUUGUACGUUCUUUGAACGUUUUGCUUGAAUAAUUUAGCAUGGGACUCAUUUUCCUUGCAAAAGGAUAAGAAAAAGGAGCCAGGAAGAGGACUCUGGAAUUGCGCGUUUAGAGGUGAAAUUCCGACAUCUUCGCAGGACGAACGGAGGCGUAGGCUGUCAUUGCCCAUCACAUCUCUAUUGAUCAGGAACGAAAGUCAGGGGAUCGAAGAUGAUUAGAUACCGUCGUAGUCCUGACCGUAAACGAUACUAACUCGAGUUUGUAUGUAACAGUUUUUCAAAAAUUGAUACAGAAUCCAAGGGAAACCGUUAAGUCUUUGGGUUCUGGGGGGAGUAUAGUCGCAAGGCCGAAACUUAAAGGAAUUGACGGAAAGACACCACCAGGAGUGGAGUUUGCGGCUUAAUUCGACUCAACGCGGGAAAACUCACCAGGAUAGGACAGAAUGAGGAUUGACAGGUUGAAUAUGGUCCUUUCUUGAUUUUUUGGAAGGUGGUGCAUGGCCGUUCUUAGUUCGUGGAGUGAUCUGUCUACUUAAUUGUGUUAACGAACGAGACCUUAACCUGUUAACUAGGCACUAGUUGAGUUUUAUUCAUGGGUUUCUUACGAAAUCUAGGUCAUUCGGGUUUUACCCGAGCUUCUUAAAGGGACAAUACUGUGUAUUUUAUAUUUUAGCGUAGGGAAGUUUAAGGCAAUAACAGGUCUGUGAUGCCCUGAGAUAUCCUGGGCGGCACGCGUACUACAAUGUCAUUGACAACAGGCUUUCCGCUUCGGCGGGCCUCUACCAAAAUGUAGGGGAAAACGUGUCAAACACUUAUAUGACUGGGAUAGCUGUUUGUAAUUACAUCUUAAACGAGGAAUUCCUAGUAAGCGCAAGUCAUCAUCUUGCAUUGAUUACGUCCCUGUCUUUUGUACACACCGCCCGUCGCUCCUACCGAUUGGAUAGCAAGGUGAACUUGAUGGACUCUAACGAGAAAAUUUAUUAAACCUUUCCAUCUCUA
rnacentral:rRNA from 1 species